GGGGCGUUAGCUCAGUUGGUAGAGCAGCUGACUCUUAAUCAGUAGGUCGUAGGUUCAACCCCUACACGCCCCACCA
rnacentral:tRNA from 1 species